AUACUUACCGGGCACGGGAAAAACCGGGAUCACGGGGGCGGUUCCCCCAGGAGGCUCACCAUUGCACUCCGGGGGGGCUGCCCCCUGCGUUUAACCCCAAAAUUUGGUUAACUCGUUUGGCGAAAAUUUUUGUUUAGGGGGGAUGGUUCGCGCAAAUCCCCC